rnacentral:rRNA from 1 species
GACGAACGCUGGCGGCGUGCUUAACGCAUGCAAGUCGAACGAUGAUGGACCUUCGGGUUUGGAUUAGUGGCGAACGGGUGAGUAACACGUGAGCAACCUGCCCUUCACUGUGGGAUAACCUUCGGAAACGUGGGCUAAUACCGCAUAGGAGCUCCUGCUGCAUGGUGGGGGUUUGAAAGAUUUUUUGGUGGGGGAUGGGCUCGCGGCCUAUCAGCUUGAUGGUGGGGUGAUGGCCUACCAUGGCUUCGACGGGUAGCCGGCCUGAGAGGGCGACCGGCCACACUGGGACUGAGAUACGGCCCAGACUCCUACGGGAGGCAGCAGUGGGGAAUAUUGGGCAAUGGGCGAAAGCCUGACCCAGCAACGCCGCGUGAAGGAAGAAGGUCUUCGGAUUGUAAACUUCUGUCGUCAGGGACGAAAAAGGACGGUACCUGGCAAGAAAGCCCCGGCUAACUACGUG